rnacentral:rRNA from 1 species
UACGUAGGGGGCAAGCGUUGUCCGGAUUUAUUGGGCGUAAAGAGCGUGUAGGCGGCCACACAGGUCAGCUGUAAAAACUCGAGGCUCAACCUCGAGACGUCGGUUGAAACCGUAUGGCUAGAGUCCGGAAGAGGAGAGUGGAAUUCCCGGUGUAGCGGUGAAAUGCGCAGAUAUCGGGAAGAACACCCGUAGCGAAGGCGGCUCUCUGGGACGGUACUGACGCUGAGACGCGAAAAGCGUGGGGAG